rnacentral:misc_RNA from 1 species
AAAAUAAUCCUACCUUUGUGAAUUUUGUUUGUUUGAAUAAUUUUUUUUUUUAAAAAAUUAUUGGAGUCUUUCCCUUUAGAGUUUGCUUUUGAGUUUGUAAAAGAAUUCGAAAACAUCUAAAGGGGAUGGUCAAUAAUUUUUUUUGAAAAAAGACAUUUUUUAAAAUUAAACUUUUUGUAUUCAUUUGUCUAAAAAUUAUUUUUUAUAAUAUUAAAAACAACUUUUGACAAUGGAUCUCUUGGUUCUCGCAACGAUGAGAACGCAGCAAAAUGCGAUAAGUAGUGUGAAUUGCAGAAUACGUGAAUCACGAAUCUUUGAACGCAUAUUGCACUUUUUAGUUUACUAAAAAAGUAUGUCCGUUUGAGUAUCAGUAAAAUAUUCUCAUAAAAAUCAUUGUGUAUUUUUAUGGUUAUGAGUGUUUUACAACGAUACGAGUUGUUUCACUUUAAAUUUUUUUUUAAUAUUGAAAUUUUUCUAAUUUUAAUAAUUAAAAUUGGAUAAAAUUUUCCCGUCAAAAAGGAAUAACCUAAACAAUUUAAACGAUUAAUUUUAGCAAAAUUUUCGUAAAAAAGGAAAUUUUUAUUAAAAUAACUUGAUCUCAAAUCAGAUAAGAGUACCCGCUGAACUUAAGCAUAUCAAUAAGCGGAGGAAAAGAACUAACAAGGAUUCCCUUAGUAACGGCGAGUGAAGCGGAAGAGCUCAAAUUUGAAAUCUUCAAGGUUUUACCUUGACGAAUUGUAGUUUAAAGAAGUGUUUUCUGCUGAAGUUUUGGUAAAGUUCUUGGAAUAGGACAUCAUAGAGGGUGAGAAUCCCGUAUUUGACCAUCAUUUCAGCUUUGUGAUACACUUUCAAAGAGUCGGAUUGUUUGGGAAUGCAGUCCAAAAUGGGUGGUAAAUUUCAUCUAAAGCUAAAUAUUGGCGAGAGACCGAUAGCGAACAAGUACCGUGAGGGAAAGAUGAAAAGAACUUUGAAAAGAGAGUUAAACGUACGUGAAAUUGUCAAAAGGGAAGCGUUUGACACCAGUGUUGUUUUCUCGAAAAUCAAUUAAAAAUGGCUCGAUUUUGUAUUGCUGAGACCUUAAAAGCUCACUGUACAUUUUUCGUGUCUUUUUUAAUGCACUUUCGUUUAACAAGUCAACAUCAGUUUCUUUUGCUGUAAAAGGGUCAUUGGAAGGUGGCUUUCUUUCGGGGAAAGUGUUUAUAGCCUUUGGCCUCUGCAAUCGGAGAGACUGAGGCCUGCAGCGUAGACUCUUCGGGUUAGAUACAUUUGUGCUAAGUUAUAGCUUUUUAUAGACAACUUGUUGACUAUAAUUAGUCUUGUAGCUUACUCGCUUAUGCUAUUU